rnacentral:misc_RNA from 1 species
UUUAGUCACUUGGUCGCAAAAUCCAGCUGUCAAGUGGAUGGAACAUGAAAUUCAUAAAUUUGCAUCCCUUGGUGAUAUUAUUAUAUUGUAUAACAUUGUUAAGAAAAUGCUAAUUUGUCUCCAAGCAUCUACAAAUUAUAGUCAACCAUCAUAUAAAAAUAGGCUGAAGUCAAGUGCACAUGUUAGCUGUUGGGACUAAGUGCACAUGUCAGCUGUUGGGACUAUGUUAUUACCUCAUAUCAGAAAUGAAAAGGA